UGAGGAAUUUUGCGCAAUGGGAGCAAUCCUGACGCAGCAACGCCGCGUGGGUGUUGAAGGCCUUCGGGUCGUAAGGCCCUGUCAGGUGGGAAGAAUGUCCCGGGACUGAACAGGUUCCGGGAGUGACGGUACCACCAGAGGAAGCACCGGCUAACUCCGUGCCAGCAGCCGCGGUACUACGGAGGGUGCAAGCGUUAUUCGGAAUUACUGGGCGUAAAGCGCGUGUAGGCGGUCCUGCAAGUCUGAUGUGAAAGCCCCGGGCUUAACCCGGGAAGUGCAUUGGAAACCGUGGGACUUGAGUACUGGAGAGGAUGGGGGAAUUCCCGGUGUAGAGGUGAAAUUCGUAGAGAUCGGGAGGAAUAUCAGUGGCGAAGGCGCCCAUCUGGACGGUAACUGACGCUGAGACGCGAAAGCGUGGGGAGCAAACA
rnacentral:rRNA from 1 species